rnacentral:rRNA from 1 species
GAUGAACGCUAGCGGCAGGCUUAAUACAUGCAAGUCGAGGGGUAGCAAGAUUGUAGCAAUACAAUUGUUGACGACCGGCAAACGGGUGCGGAACACGUACACAACCUUCCUACAAGUGGGGAAUAGCCCAGAGAAAUUUGGAUUAAUACCCCGUAACAUAGCGAUGUGGCAUCACAUUGCUAUUAUAGCUUCGGCGCUUGUUGAUGAGUGUGCGGCUGAUUAGAUAGUUGGCGGGGUAACGGCCCACCAAGUCUACGAUCAGUAGCUGAUGUGAGAGCAUGAUCAGCCACACGGGCACUGAGAAACGGGCCCGACUCCUACGGGAGGCAGCAGUAAGGAAUAUUGGACAAUGGACGCAAGUCUGAUCCAGCCAUGCCGCGUGAAGGAUUAAGGUCCUCUGGAUUGUAAACUUCUUUUAUAAGGGACGAAAAAAGGUCUUUCUAGAUCGUCUGACGGUACCUUAUGAAUAAGCACCGGCUAACUCCGUGCCAGCCGCCGCGGUAAGAC